GACGAACGCUGGCGGCGUGCUUAACACAUGCAAGUCGAACGGAAAGGCCCUGCUUUUGUGGGGUGCUCGAGUGGCGAACGGGUGAGUAACACGUGAGUAACCUGCCCUUGACUUUGGGAUAACCUCAGGAAACUGGGGCUAAUACCGGAAAGGAGCUCCUGCCGCAUGGUGGGGGUUGGAAAGUUUCGGCGGUUGGGGAUGGACUCGCGGCUUAUCAGCUUGUUGGUGGGGUAGUGGCUUACCAAGGCCUUGCCAGGUAGCCGGCCUGAGAGGGUGACCGGCCACAUUGGGACUGAGAUACGGCACAGACUCCUACGGGAGGCAGCAGUGGGGAAUAUUGCACAGUGGGCGGGGGCCUGGUGCAACAACGCCGCGUGCGGGAUGACGGCCUUCGGGUUGUAAACCGCUUUCGCCUGUGACGAAGCGUGAGUGACGGUAAUGGGUAAAGAAGCACCGGCUAACUACGUG
rnacentral:rRNA from 1 species